UGAAUUCCCCGUUUAAGUACGUAGCUAUACAUUCUACUGGCAAAUCCGUAGGGAGUGGCGAAAUACGAAAGUAUAUGAGAGCUUCGGCUCGAUUGAGUGAGGUAAUAGCUGCCGAGAAAAACCUCUAAGGUUAGGCUAAAGCGACCCGUACCGCAAACCGACACAGGUAGACGAGAAGAAUAUUCUAAGGCGCUCGGGUGAGCCGCGGAGAAGGAACUAGGCAAAUUGUGGCUGUAACUUCGGGAUAAAGCCAACCUACUUCGGUAGGUCUCAGUAAAAUGAUUCAACCAACUGUUUAACAAAAACACAGGGCCCUGCAAAAUCGAAAGAUGACGUAUAGAGCCUGAUACCUGCCCGGUGCUGGAAGGUUAAGGAAGGAUGUUCGGCGCAAGCCAAAGCUUCUGACUGAAGCCCCAGUAAACGGCGGCCGUAACAAUAACGGUCCUAAGGUAGCGAAAUUCCUUGUCGGGUAAGUUCCGACCUGCACGAAUGGUCUAAUGAGUUGAAUACUGUCUCCUCCGCGAGCCCGGUGAAAUUGUAGUAUCGGUGAAGAUGCCGGUUACCCGUCACGGGACGGAAAGACCCCGUGAACCUUCACUACAACUUUGCAUUGAUUUUGAAUUACGGAUGUGUAGAAUAGUUGGGACUCUUUGAAGCAGUGGCGCUAGCCAUUGUGGAGAGGUCGUUGAAAUACCAACCUUCUUUGAUUAGAGUCUAACCCCUUACGGGGAACAGUGCAUGGUGGGUAGUUUGACUGGGGUGGUCGCCUCCUAAAGUGUAACGGAGGCUUGCAAAGGUACCCUCAGUACGGUUGGUAAUCGUACGCAGAGCGCAUUAGUAGAAGGGUGCUUGACUGUGAGACAUACAGGUCGAGCAGGAGCGAAAGCUGGCUAAAGUGAUCCGGCGGUUCUGUAUGGAAGGGCCGUCGCUCAAAGGAUAAAAGGUACUCCGGGGAUAACAGGCUGAUCUCCCCCAAGAGCUCAUAUCGACGGGGAGGUUUGGCACCUCGAUGUCGGUUCGUCACAUCCUGGGGCUGGAGAAGGUCCCAAGGGUUCGGCUGUUCGCCGAUUAAAGUGGCACGUGAACUGGGUUCAGAACGUCGCAAGACAGUUCGGUCCCUAUCUGUGAUGGGCGUUAGAAAAUUGAGUGGACAUGACCUUAGUACGAGAGGACCGGGUCGUACGUACCGCUGGUGUAUCAGUUGUGCCGCCAGGUGCAGUGCUGAGUAGCUAUGUACGGACAAGAUAAACGCUGAAAGCAUCUAAGCGUGAAACUUACCACAAGAUGAGUUUUCUUUUAAGGGUCGUCAGAGACUAUGACGUUGAUAGGCUACAGGUCUAAAACUGGUAACAGUAAAGCCGAGUAGUACUAAUUGCCCGUAAGCUUUAAUAA
rnacentral:rRNA from 1 species